rnacentral:lncRNA from 1 species
GCGGAGGGUGCGGCCAGCGCGGUACCCGCCCCGGCGAGGCGCUGGGGAGGCCCGGGUGGGGAGAAGAAAUGGGGCCUGGGGGACGGUAGGAGCCUCCGUGCGGAGACCACUGUUCAAGGCCACAGACAUUUAUGCAGUGUGUGAUUCUUUCUAAAACAACUCCCUGGAAGAGAGGACAUUUAAUUCAACAAUUUAUUGGCCACCUACUGUGCACCAGGCAGUGAACUUGGAACUGGGGCUACUGGGUUACAGCAGUGACCAAGACAGAGGUCCCUGUUCUUAAGGAGCAAGUGAGGGCAACAGAAAAGAGCAGUCAGCUGUCAUGCGAGGGCACUCAAGCAGCCCUGUGGAAAGCUCUACGUGGUGAGAAACUGAAGCCUCCUGCCAACACCAACAAGGAACUGAGACCUACUUCCAACAGCCAUCUGAGUGAUCGAUCCAUCCUGGAAUCAGAUCCUCCAGCCCCAGUCAAGUCUUCAGAUGACUGCAGCCCUGACCAGCAUCUCAACUGCAACCUCGUGAAUGACCCUGAGCCAGAACCAUGCAACUAAACUCUGCGUGGAUUCAUGACCCACAGAAACUGUGAGAUGGUAGCUGUUUGCUUUGUUAAGCCUCUAAGUCUGGAAAGAAUGUCUUAAGCAGUAGCAGACAAUGAACACAAGAUUAUUAUUCAGCUGUUGAAUUGGAAGAGGAGGGGAAGAAAAAAUUUUCAGAUCACAAAAUAUUCAUUGUGUAAAACUUCAAAAAUUCUGAAAUUUAAGGAAAAAA